rnacentral:rRNA from 1 species
AUACGAAGGGUGCAAGCGUUAAUCGGAAUUACUGGGCGUAAAGCGCGCGUAGGUGGUUCGUUAAGUUGGAUGUGAAAGCCCCGGGCUCAACCUGGGAACUGCAUCCAAAACUGGCGAGCUAGAGUAUGGCAGAGGGUGGUGGAAUUUCCUGUGUAGCGGUGAAAUGCGUAGAUAUAGGAAGGAACACCAGUGGCGAAGGCGACCACCUGGGCUAAUACUGACACUGAGGUGCGAAAGCGUGGGGAGCAAACAGGAUUAGAUACCCUAGUAGUCC